rnacentral:sRNA from 3 species
AAGGUUCGACUCGAGCGAAGCGAGAGAACGUUGCCGCAGGCAAUGGCCCGAAGGCGAGGCGCUUUAGCGCCGAGUAAUCCUUCCCCCACCACUG